rnacentral:sRNA from 1 species
UAGCUUAUGAGUGUGAAGGGGACAGAUA